rnacentral:sRNA from 1 species
CUCACAUUGUGUAAAUAACACACACGUAUCGGCACAUCCGCCGGGGUGCCUCGGGUGACAUCGUCAUGCUGGGGUCGGCGUUAUGGGAUACGUGGAGGCAUAAC